UACGUAGGGGGCUAGCGUUGUCCGGAAUCAUUGGGCGUAAAGCGCGUGUAGGCGGCCCGGUAAGUCCGCUGUGAAAGUCGGGGGCUCAACCCUCGGAUGCCGGUGGAUACUGUCGGGCUGGAGUGCGGAAGAGGCGAGUGGAAUUCCCGGUGUAGCGGUGAAAUGCGCAGAUAUCGGGAGGAACACCAAUGGCGAAGGCAGCUUGCUGGGACGGUACUGACGCUGAGGCGCGAAAGCGUGGGGAGCAAACAGG
rnacentral:rRNA from 1 species